rnacentral:misc_RNA from 1 species
GGAAGUAAAUGUCGUAACAAGGUUUCCGUAGGUGAACCUGCGGAAGGAUCAUUAUUGUAUAACCGAGGUGCGAGGGCUGUCGCUGACCCGAAAGGUCGUGCACGCCCGAGUGCCCUCACACACAUCCAUCUCACCCCUAUGUGCACCACCGCGUGGGUCCCCCUUUGGCUUGUUCGGAGGGGGGCUUACGUUUUCACACAAACUUUGUAUGCAGUGUAGAAUGUAUUUUUUGUUUUUGCGAUCACGCAAUCAAUACAACUUUCAACAACGGAUCUCUUGGCUCUC